UGAGCUGUUCUGGGGACAGGCGCUGUACCCAUAGAUGGAGGGACACCCCACCUCUCCUGGAGGACACCUCCUGGGAGGCUGCCCUUCAUUUCCUUCUCUGGACAGGAGGCAGCAUGUGACAGCAAAGGCUGGAGAGAGGCCUGUGGAAGGAGCCACGGGAGAGGCACGAUUCUGAGUGGCAGGAAGGGGCUGCGGGAGCAGGUGGCCUGUCUGGACCCUCAUCACAUGGCUCACUAAAAACACAGUCUGGUCUGCCA